CUCUACUAUUAUCUAGUAUUACUAUAUUUUUCCAUUAACAUAAAAAAGCAUAUUCUUUCUCAUUUUUAUUGAAUAAAUAAAAGUAAUAAAUAAGCAAAAUUUUCAUUUUUAUCUAGAAUUUAAAUUGUUAAAAAAAAAAACUUCAUAAAAGAUUAGGAAAAGUAAAAGUAUAUGAUAUAGAAACCUAUAAUAUAAAUGAAUACAAAUAAAAACAAACAAAUCGAACCAAAUUAUAAAAAGUACUUGUUAUUUUUAAAGUUUAAAGAAACUA
rnacentral:misc_RNA from 1 species